UACAGAGGUCUCAAGCGUUGUUCGGAUUCAUUGGGCGUAAAGGGUGUGUAGGUGGCGCCGUAAGUCGGGGUGUGAAAUUUCGGAGCUUAACUCCGAAACUGCAUUCGAUACUGCCGGUGCUUGAGGACUGGAGAGGAGACUGGAAUUUACGGUGUAGCGGUGAAAUGCGUAGAUAUCGUAAGGAAGACCAGUGGCGAAGGCGGGUCUCUGGACAAGUUCCUGACGCUGAGGCACGA
rnacentral:rRNA from 1 species